rnacentral:rRNA from 1 species
GAUUGUAGUCUGCAACUCGACUACAUGAAGCUGGAAUCGCUAGUAAUCGCGAAUCAGAAUGUCGCGGUGAAUACGUUCCGGGUCUUGUACACACCGCCGUCACACCAUGGGAGUCAGUAACGUCCGAAGUCAGUGACCCAACCUAUUAGGAGGGAGCUGCCGAAGGUGGGACCGAUAACUGGGGUGAAGUCGUAACAAGGUACC